CUGAAGUUGUAGAACAUGUGAUUGAUCUAGAAACAUUUUUACAGUGCUGCUGUCAAGUGUUAAAACCCGGUGGUUCUUUAUUCAUUACUACAAUCAACAAAACACAACUUUCCUAUGCCUUGGGAAUUGUUUUUUCAGAGCAAAUUGCAAGUAUUGUACCAAAAGGUACUCAUACAUGGGAGAAGUUUGUUUCACCUGAAACACUAGAGAGCAUUCUGGAAUCAAAUGGUCUGUCAGUUCAAACAGUGGUAGGAAUGCUCUAUAACCCCUUCUCAGGUUACUGGCAUUGGAGUGAAAAUACCAGCCUUAACUAUGCAGCUUAUGCUGUGAAAUCCAGGGUCCAGGAACACCCAGCCUCUGCUGAGUUUGUUUUAAAGGGAGAAACAGAAGAGCUCCAAGCUAAUGCCUGCACCAAUCCAGCUGUGCAUGAAAAGCUGAAGAAAUGAAUUGUUUCUGAGAACUAUAGUAAUAUGGCUUGGAUAUCUGAUGUUUUCAAAUACAAAAAUGUACAAUUUAUCCUUUGAGAGAGAAUCAUGAAGAAAAGAAGGUCAAUAAAAAGGGCUAAAACCUUGGACAAAAGUUUUUGUUAUUUCGUCUAAUAGCUACUUUCAAGGGAUUCUGUGAAUAAAAAGUUUUGUCAAGAU
rnacentral:lncRNA from 1 species